CUUUCCCAUAGAUUGUGAUACACUCAUGAGUUAGGCCUAGGUCAAUGAUAAUUAUUGCAGCAUGUUCUUUACCUAUAGCUUUCCCACGCAUACCCCCCUGCUUAGGUUGUUAUUCGUUUUCCUGAGUUAGGCCUAGGUCAAAAAAGGUCAAUGAUAAUUAUUGAUGCAUGUUCAUUCCUAUAGCUUUUCCCGUUGUUACCCCCUUAAAAUCCGGUUCCUGUGCGUUCCACACGCACAUAUACGAACCUGUCUAUAAAAGCAAGCACUUCGAUAGUUGGAAAAUCAGCUGGAAAAUAGUUGAAAAAAGAGUCGAAUAGUUCGAAGGGCUCGAAAGAAUUUCCUGACUCUAUCCUUCAAAACUUCCGGACACCAUGGAUUUCUUAGCAGGUAAGAUGUAUUUUAAAAAAUUAAAAUAGUUAAUUAUAAAAUAAAAUACAAUGUUUAUGUAAUUAUCCAUUUGAUAUUGAUAUAAAUCUAAAACUAAUCUUUGAGUACAACAAUCAUCAUCCUUAUCUGGUCAUUAUGUAAUCGGGUACGAUACUUUAUCUAAAAUUUAAUGUUCAAUACACUUAUAUUACAGAGCAAGACCAAACUAAGCUCGUCUGAUUCUAGUGUAUAGGAUAACGUAUCAAACGAAUGCGAGUCUACUAGACAACAGCGUCGUGAUUAUUUCUAACGGUGAAUUUUCCAAGACAUCUGAUCGAGGCCUUUUGAAUCUGAGCUCUACUCGUAAGUCAUAACAUUAAAUUAUGAAUGUUUCAUGCUGUAAAGUAGUAGGUAAUUAAAAUUUGUCUCUUAGAUCUGUGUAGCGAGCUAAAAGGGGGACUGUUAAGUUACUAAUAAUAUAUUUAUUUGCUUUACUGUUUUUAGACAACUGCUUUGUGAAUAUUUCUGAUGAUGAGAUUCCCAAAACAACCGCUCAAGAUCUUUUGAAUCUGAGCUCCACACAAGUUGAGGGCGUCUUGACUAUCAGUGCUUACGACGGAGAUAUUUCAGAUACGAGUGAUGUCGAAAAUUUUGAUGCAGUAGACGAGCGAGAGGAAUUCAAGUCGGAAGCCGACAUUCAACCCGACCUUGAAUUACU